AAAAACUACGAGAAAAAGAAGCCGAGGUGGAGUGUAUUAACAAGAAAAACAUUGAGCUCGAACAGCGAAUGGAGCAGCUGUCAGUGGAAGCUGGUGCUUGGCAGCAGCGGGCUCGGUAUAACGAGAAUAUGAUCACAGCACUAAAGUUCAAUCUUCAGCAGGUGUAUGCUCAAAGCAGGGAUAGCAAGGAAGGAUGUGGGGAUAGCGAGGUGGAAGACACUGCAUCUUGCUGCAAUGGUCGGUCCCUUGAUUUUCAACUGCUUCGCAGCAACAGCAAUGAUGUGAAGGAG
rnacentral:misc_RNA from 1 species